UUGCCAGCAGCUCCGUUGGCGCUGCAACCAUCUUGACUUGGAAUCAACCACCCUAUAGGCCACGCUGUAGCCUUAGAGACUACCUCGUGAAACUUUCAUCGACCGUCGCACAUAGGGCAAGGCACGCUUCUGCCCUCUGUGGGACAGAGUUGUCAAUGAUUAUAGGUGCGGAUCCCCGCUUCGGCCUGCGUUAAUCGGGGAUGCAGCCCCCCACCCUUCCUGCCGUGGUUCUACCCAGCCUGCUGCGGACGCCUGAGCCAGGUGCGUCACCCCCACCUGGGCUGACCAGGCCAGGACUUCGUCGUCCGCGGGACGCUGGGGGGCGCCUGCCGACUGGCACCGGCGGCUAGCUCCGCACGAAUGGGAAAUCCCGGGCUCCGUUCGCCAUCCUGUUACUGCUGCAGAACGCCAGGAAGCUCAGCCUGAUCCCACAGAUUAGGGUAAAAGAUCCCGGGGGGCCGAAGUGGAAACCGGAGUUACAUCAUCGCUCCCACCCGAUAUCACCUUGGCAGCGACCGCGGCUGACCACGUUCCCGGCCUGUCGCGAAUCUCACCCAAGGGAGCUGAGUCUCAGCUUCCCUGGUCCCUGGUCCCCAGUUCCCCCUUCCCCCCUGUGGCAUCGGCGUGAAGGGAAAAGAUAAAGAGUACCUCCUGAGACCUGGAAUUGUGGAUGGCUGCGGAAAAUUCACCACAGAAAAUUUUGGCUUAAAGUUAUUCUCUGCUUUCCUUGACUAUGUGAUAGCCACAGCUCUAUCUGCUAGAGGACAGGUGAAAAAGAUGGGGUUCCCUCUUCUUAGAACUCACUGUGCAGUGGGAGAAAGUAUAAAUAAAUAGUAGUUACAACAUAAUCUUCUGGAAUAGAAAUGCCCACAAAAUCAUCCAGCAGUCGAUGACCUCCUUUAGCCAGGGAAGAUAUUGCUAUUCGCCUCCUACAGAGGAGGAAACCAUGGCUCAGAGGGACAAGGUGAAAGGGUGGGAAAUUGAGGCAUAGAAAAUUUAGGUGAUAUGCCCAACAUGACUCAGCUAAUCAAUGAAGGACUAGUGCUAGAGCCCAGCAAAUCUGCUGGUGCAAUGGUCUCUGAACCAUUUCUGAGACAGCUAUGCUGGACUACAUCAUAACCAGCCCCUCACAACUCAAUAAUAGGGUUAAAAGAAAUAGACUGAGAUUAAACAGAAGGAAGAACCUUCCAACAGUGAAGUUUGUUAAGCACUGAAACAGUUCAUUAUGGAGGUAUCAUGGAAACUUUCUGGGAAGACUUAAACAAAAGACAGAAGAGAGGCACAGCGUUUGACUGAACUUGGGAAUGGACCAUUUAUUCUGAGAAGCAGAUGAAGUGCCCCUUUAGAGGUCCUGCCAGUUUGAUGGAUGGAUUCUCUACCUGUAAUGAAAGUAAUAGGAAGAAUCCCCUUGCCCAAAGCAUCGUGGGAAAGCUAGCGGUGAUUCUUGUGGGAAGAAAAGCAUAAGAGGAAAUUUCCAACCGCCAAUAUCUUGGGACAUUCUCUGGAAGUCUCAUGUGCCUCUGAAAGAGGUUGAGCACUCAGAAGUCACUUUUGUGGUGCUUGAUUGGCCUGACAUCUUGCAAAUAAACCUUAUCAAAAGAUGGUGGAAGAUGCAUACUAAGUAUUCCGUAGUAAUUGAUAGUUAGUCUUUUUUCACAGCUUUUUGUUGGAGGAAAGGUACUUGUAAUUCACGUGUGUAAACUGCACUAUAGUAUAAAAUUUCUUUGGAAUAUCUUA
rnacentral:lncRNA from 1 species